UACGUAGGGUGCGAGCGUUGUCCGGAAUUAUUGGGCGUAAAGAGCUCGUAGGUGGCGGGUCACGUCGGGUGUGAAAGCCCGGGGCUUAACUCCGGGUCUGCAUUCGAUACGGGUCUGCUGGGGUCCGGCAGGGGAGACUGGAAUUCCUGGUGUAGCGGUGAAAUGCGCAGAUAUCGGGAGGAACACCAGUGGCGAAGGCGAUCACCUGGGUUGUUCUGACGCUGAGGAGCGAAAGCUAGGGGAGCAAACGGG
rnacentral:rRNA from 1 species